CAAUAGCGUAUACUAAUGUUGUUGCAGUUAAAAAGCUCGUAGUUGAACUUCUGGUAGGAGUGUCCCGGCCUUUUUGUUUUUACAAAUUGUAUGCUGUGUGACAUCUCUGGCCAUCCUUCUUCUUUGUUUAAAGAAGAUCUUUCACUGUAAAAAAAUUAGGGUGUUCAAAGCAAAAGUUUCUUUGGAAUAUAUUAGUAUGGGAUGAUAAGAUAGGCUCUAGAUGCUAUUUUGUUGGUUUGCACAUUUAGAGAAUGAUUAACAGGGACAGUUGGGGGUAUUCGUAUUUACAUGUCAGAGGUGAAAUUCUUGGAUUUUGGAAAGACGAACUACUGCGAAAGUAUUUACCAAGGAUGUUUUCAUUAA
rnacentral:rRNA from 1 species